rnacentral:sRNA from 1 species
UCUAAACUAAAAAGUUGAAGAAAGAAGAGCUGUAUUAUCAGACAUGACGAAAACCAGCUGCAAUCGGCAUCCUUCCCUGAAAUGAGAAAGGCAAUGAUGGCAUCAAGUACUUGCAUAAAGCAUUAGUUGUUGUCCAAAUGGAGAAGAUGCCAGCAGUUAUCUCUUCAUACCAGUAAGAGGGAUGUUGAAAUUGCUUCAUUUCCAGCAGAUUAAGGAAUUGUUCUUCUUGUGGAUUCUAGAGGGAGAGUGGACAGAAUUUCACCUAACUUUCACAUGUUCUGUUGGAAAAUUGACAGCCAUGUGAUGAAAUGAAAUAGUCAUAGACAGAGUUUUCAAAGUUUUUGAGAUGUACUAUCAGAAUUUGGACUUUGAAGAUCUCAGCAACUCACAAAACUUCACGAAGGCAGAUAUCUUAUCCGGUAUAUUUUUCUCUGGCUCUUCCACUAAAGGAUCUGCAACAAAUCAAAUGCGGGUAACUCGUGCCAGUAGCUAAUUAUUAUUAUCAAACUUUUGAAGUGCUGAAAGUUAUGUUUCCAUAAUACGGAGUUGACUUCUGCUUUCUGGGAUAGAAGGUAUGCAGACCUGCAAAUAGUGAUCUUCAAUUGUUGUGCAUUGCAUUCGAGGCUGCCAUUUGGUAUUUGAGAUCAUGUGCCAUGAAAAUUUCAAGUGGUCUACUACUGGCUUCAGGAGGAGGCCGAAUGUCUUUGCAGCAUUUUCCACAUGCUUCAUCUUAAAUUUCGGAUUGACAAAGCAACAUAGAGAAUGAUGGGGAGGCCGAUUCCUUUCUCUUUGGAACCAUUAGAAGCCAAUAACAACCACAACUCCAUUUCCACUCCAGGCAGGCGUUUUCACACAUAAGGAGUGCUCUACACACAAACUCGUUUAAGCAGAAUUGAAAACCAACUGCUUACGUGAUUGAAGUCGGAUGUGGAUUUUAACUUAAAGAUUCUUGCUACUUCCUUCAUGUAGUAGUUUACUUCCUAAAAUUUCAUUACCCUUUCCUGUUUUAAUUGUGAAUUUCUUGUAAACUUUUGACUAAAUCGUCUCCCAAGGUACUUGACAUACUUCAAGCUUUUAAGAAUAAUCUGAUAUAUUAUCAUUCAUUUCAUCCA